CCUACGGGUGGCAGCAGUGAGGAAUAUUGGUCAAUGGGCGGAAGCCUGAACCAGCCAAGUCGCGUGAGGGAAUAAGGCCCUACGGGUCGUAAACCUCUUUUGCCGGGGAGCAAGGGCGGGGACGUGUCCCGGCCCGGAGAGUACCCGGAGAAAAAGCAUCGGCUAACUCCGUGCCAGCAGCCGCGGUAAUACGGAGGAUGCGAGCGUUAUCCGGAUUUAUUGGGUUUAAAGGGUGCGUAGGCGGGCUUUUAAGUCAGCGGUAAAAAUUCGGGGCUCAACCCCGUCCGGCCGUUGAAACUGGGGGCCUUGAGUGGGCGAGAAGAAGGCGGAAUGCGUGGUGUAGCGGUGAAAUGCAUAGAUAUCAGGAGGAACAUCGGUGGCGUAAGCGCUUUACUGGGCCGUAAUUGACGCUGAGGAACGAAAGCCAGGGUAGCAAAUGGGAUUAGAUACCCGGGUAGUC
rnacentral:rRNA from 1 species